rnacentral:rRNA from 1 species
AUGGACAAGCAGAGCGUCAUGUGGAGACAGCUGCAGCACCAGCACCACCAGGCCAGCGGCGCGGCGGGUGGCAAUGCCGUCGCUGCUGCCGGUGCUGGUGCGACGACGACGACCGCGCCCGUCCGGCCGAGCGGCGCGCGGUGGACGCCCACGCCGGAGCAGGUCAAGAUCCUCAAGGACCUCUACUACGACUGCGGCAUCCGGUCGCCCACGGCGGAGCAGAUCCAGCGGAUCGCGGCCCGGCUCCGGCAGUACGGCCGGAUCGAGGGCAAGAACGUCUUCUACUGGUUCCAGAACCACAAGGCCCGCGAGCGCCAGAAGAAGCGCCUCGGCGUCGACGUCAACGGCUCCCCCCUCGCCACCGCCACCGCCGCCGACGUCCUCGCCCUCUCCCCCUCCGGUGCGGCGGCCGGCUUGUACGGCGCCGGCAGCUGCGCCGGUAGAGGCGCGGCUGUCCAUCCAGAUGCGAGCGCCACUACUACUACUUGCUGGGGAGACAGCACCCUGCAGGACUACAUGGGCGCGAGGAGCACGGCGGGAGCGGGCAACCACGGCGGCGCCGCCGCAGCAGCACCUACGCCGUGGCCAGCUGCGAGCUUCCCUUUCUCCACCAACCAGACGCCGCCAAUGCCCCCGCCGCGGGAGCUCCCGCUCUUCCCGACCGGCGGAGGCCGGCAAGAAAGCGCCGACGACUUCAACGGCAGCAGCUACCAUCUCCAGCCCAACAGCUCGCAGUGGUGGGAAGCUGCCGCCGCCAGCAACGCCAACGCCAUGGCAGUCGUCCAUCAUCAGCUGCUGCAAGAACAGCACGAGCAGCAGCACAGCUUUUACAACAGCAGCGGCAACCAGCAGCAGAUGAUGAUGAUGAUGCCCAUCCAGGACGCCGGCACCUCCCCGGAGCUCACUCUCCGCGCCCCUUACAUGUGA